rnacentral:rRNA from 1 species
AUUGGAUUGGAGGGGCUGUAAAGGUGUUCCAGGAAAUAGCCUCAUCAUAUAGACCGUACCCUAAACCGACACAGGUGGGUUGGUAGAGCAUACCAAGGCGCUUGAGAGAACUAUGCUGAAGGAACUCGGCAAAUUGCCUCCGUAACUUCGGGAGAAGGAGGCCCACCAUCGAGGCAACUCUUUGGUGGGGGCACAUAAGAGGGGGUGGCGACUGUUUACUAAAAACACA